UACGUAGGUGGCAAGCGUUGUCCGGAUUUACUGGGUGUAAAGGGCGUGUAGGCGGGUUGUCAAGUCAGAUGUGAAAUUCCAGGGCUCAACCCUGGAGCUGCAUCUGAAACUGAUGAUCUUGAGUACUGGAGAGGGAAGCGGAAUUCCUAGUGUAGCGGUGAAAUGCGUAGAUAUUAGGAGGAACACCAGUGGCGAAGGCGGCUUUCUGGACAGUAACUGACGCUGAGGCGCGAAAGCGUGGGGAGCAAACAGG
rnacentral:rRNA from 1 species